CCGAGUUUACAACUCCCAAACCCAAUGUAAACGUUACCAAACUGUUGCCUCGGCGGGGUCACGCCCCGGGUGCGUAAAAGCCCCGGAACCAGGCGCCCGCCGGAGGAACCAACCAAACUCUUUCUGUAGUCCCCUCGCGGACGUAUUUCUUACAGCUCUGAGCAAAAAUUCAAAAUGAAUCA
rnacentral:misc_RNA from 1 species